CGAUAUUUUCAUAAUAUUUUAUUAAAAAUAUAUUAUUUAAAAAAAAUCCUACCAUCUAGUGUUCCUUCUCCUCUUUAUUUGAUACUACCAGUGGUAUUACAAUAUCCCUAUACAUCCACAGCCCCCUGCCGGCUUCACCAUGAUCAUAAUUUCACCAACUACUUUUUUUUUUUUUUUAAUAUAAACGGAAGAUUACACCA
rnacentral:lncRNA from 1 species